CGGGUGAGUAAUGUAUGGGGAUCUGCCUGAUGGCGGGGGAUAACUACUGGAAACGGUAGCUAAUACCGCAUAAUGUCUGCGGACCAAAGCGGGGGACCUCCGGGCCUCGCGCCAUCAGAUGAACCCAUAUGGGAUUAGCUUGUAGGUAAGGUAACGGCUUACCUAGGCGACGAUCCCUAGCUGGUCUGAGAGGAUGAUCAGCCACACUGGGACUGAGACACGGCCCAG
rnacentral:rRNA from 1 species